AAAGUACCCGCACACACACACACACACACACACAGACACAUGCACACAAAUGAAGGCAAAGUAUAAAGUGCUUGUUUGCGCUUAUGUGCGAAGUAUUACAGCAAAUAAAGAGACAACAGUGGAGAACCUAAGAGCCACAUGGACAUGAAGAAUGUUCCUGGAGCAACAUUACCAUUUUUCAUAGUUGGAAAAACUGAGUAUCAUACAAUAGACCGAGAAUUCAAAUAUUUAUAGAACAAAAGCUGAUAAUAAAGGAAGACAUGCUGUCAGACCUCAAGAUAUACAGAGAAGUAACAGCUACGUUGACGAAAGAAUAUUACAAGAAUAAAUAUUUUACCUAAGAAAACACCUUUAGCUACUUCACUGCUAAGAUACUAUCAGUGCUGCCCAUUAUACUUAAAACCGCUCCGAAGAGCAGAAAGAAGUUUCGGAUACACAUUCACGCCAUCCUUCUACAUCAGAAGUGAAUGGUGUGCACUUCUCAAUGGCAUCUUUUUCCCCCUUCCCACAUGAGUUUCGAAACCAUCUUAUAAGCCUGUCAGGCAUAUUUCUUGUUCAUUCCUUCUGUGGGGCAGAGGCAGACAGAUUGCUGGAUCAGAUAGUGCAAUACGCUGUAUACUGCAUUUGAAAUGUGCCUUUUUUUAAAGCAGCAGAUUUAUUGAUUUUCUUAAGUAGAAAAUAUGCACCCGGACAUUAGACAAACACAGACUAAACACAGACUGAGGAAAAGCUGAUAAUUUGAUUAAACUGACUGAGCUUUUGUUGUCUGUGUUUGGGGAAUUUCCAAUAAUGCACAAGUGCCAAGCGCCCCUCUUCUACUGAAUUUAACAAAUGUAAUCCCUAAGCACAAUGAAUGUUACAAUUAUACUGUAUUUGGAGAAUUGUUUUUCUUUAGAAAAAUAUUUUGAUGAGCCUAUAUAUUGCUUAGGUUGAAAGGAAGGGUGGGGUAAAAAUCUUGCCUUGCUCAAGAUACAGGACUUCAUUCAGAAAGGGGUCUAAGUAUUAGCUAGGCAAAAAGCAUUCAUUCGAUGGAAAUAUUUUCUUUCUUUCUAUCUACAUACCUAUCAAGAUUACAGAGAUAUAAUUGAUUAAAUGUAAUUUCCUCAAUUUUAGGGUCAAAUUGAGUUCAAUAUUUAAGGUUUAUAAUGCUUCACAGUGUCAUUUCACAUGUCGUAGGGAACAGUUUAGUUGUCUCAAGAUGUCAAAAAGCUCUGGUUAUUUAAUUUACUCUUAUGGAUGCCUGCAAUGAAAUUAGUGGCAGAAAGGAUGUGUGUGUGUGUGUGUGUGUGUGUGUGUGUGAACAGGGAUAAGGGAAUCAUAGCUAAAAUUAUGUGAGGAUUACUGAGUUUUAUGAAUCAGUUGAGUGAGCCCUUGUGAACAUCAGCUAUAAACAACUCUGAGCUGUCCCUGUAUCUUUUUUUUUUUUUUAA